CAAAAACAUAGCUCUAGAAAUAAUCUAAAGUGUAACCUGCCCAGUGGCUUUUAAUAAAAAGGAUAAGAGCCUAAAAAUAAAGCUAAAAGGACGCGGUAACCUUGACCGUGGUAAUGUAGCAUAAUCACUCGCCAUUUAAUUGAUGGAUAGUAUGAAUGGUUGAACGAAUACUCCACUGUCUUAAAGAGAAUUAUAUAAAACUGAAAUAAUAGUCAAGAUGCUAUUUUAAACUGUAAGACGAAAAGACCCUAUAGAGCUUAACUAUACGCUCUUUACUAAAAAUAAGAUAACUAUCUUAAGAAUAAAGAGAAUGGUAGUUUAGUUGGGGCGACUGCCUUCUAAAAUUAACGAAGGUAAGCAAAGUUAAUUUAAAAACUUAUUGUAUAAUCUAAAUUUUUAACAAUUACUAACGUAGGUUAUAUUGACCCGUUGAAAUAAAGUGAUAUUAUCAACGAUCAAUUAAUAAAAGCUACCUUAGGGAUAACAGGAUAAUUUUAUUUUAGAGUCUAUCGAAAAUAAAGUUUGUCACCUC
rnacentral:rRNA from 1 species